rnacentral:rRNA from 1 species
CCUACGGGCGGCAGCAGUAGGGAAUCUUCCACAAUGGGCGGAAGCCUGAUGGAGCAACGCCGCGUGGGUGAAGAAGGUCUUCGGAUCGUAAAACCCUGUUUUUCGAGAAGAAAAUGCGUGAGAGUAACUGUUCACGUUUCUACGGUAUCUAACCAGAAAGCCACGGCUAACUACGUGCCAGGAGCCGCGGUAAUACGUAGGUGGCAGGCGUUAUCCGGUUUUAUUGGGGGUAAAUGGAGCGCAGGCGGUCUUUUAAAUCUGAUGGGAAAGCCUUCGGCUUAACCGGAGUAGUGCAUUGGAAACUGGGAGACUUGAGUGCAGAAGAGGAGAGUGGAACUCGAUGUGUAGCGGUGAAAUGCGUAGAUA